AGAAUCAACGCUGGCGGCGUGCCUAACACAUGCAAGUCGAACGAGAAAGUGGAGCAAUCCAUGAGUAAAGUGGCGCACGGGUGAGUAACACGUGACUAACCUACCCUGGAGUUGGGGAUAACUGAGGGAAACCUUAGCUAAUACCGCAUAAUACCUACGGGUCAAAGGAGCAAUUCGCUUCAGGAGGGGGUCGCGGCCGAUUAGUUAGUUGGCGGGGUAAUGGCCCACCAAGACAGUGAUCGGUAUCC
rnacentral:rRNA from 1 species